AUUGAACGCCGGCGGCAUGCCUUACACAUGCAAGUCGAACGGCAGCACGGGUGCUUGCACCUGGUGGCGAGUGGCGAACGGGUGAGUAAUACAUCGGAACGUACCUUAUCGUGGGGGAUAACGCAGCGAAAGCUGUGCUAAUACCGCAUACGCCCUGAGGGGGAAAGCGGGGGAUCGAAAGACCUCGCGCGAUUAGAGCGGCCGAUGCCUGAUUAGCUUGUUGGUGGGGUAAAAGCCCACCAAGGCGACGAUCAGUAGCUGGUCUGAGAGGACGAUCAGCCACACUGGGACUAAGACACGGCCCAGACUCCUACGGGAGGCAGCAGUGGGGAAUUUUGGACAAUGGGGGCAACCCUGAUCCAGCAAUGCCGCGUGAGUGAAGAAGGCCUUCGGGUUGUAAAGCUCUUUUGUCAGGGAAGAAACACCGGCUCUAACACAGUCUGCGAAUGACGGUACCUGAAGAAUAAGCACCGGCUAACUACGUGCCAGCCGCCGCCGUAA
rnacentral:rRNA from 1 species